rnacentral:misc_RNA from 1 species
UCCUCCUCCGCCUCCAUCAAAAUCUUCAUCGUCUUCUACUCCAUGUACGGCCACGUCGAGGGCCUGGCUCAGAGGAUGAAGAAGGGGGUGGAUGGGAUCGAGGGCGCCGAGGGGGUGCUGUACCGGGUGCCCGAAACACUGUCGCAGGACGUGUUGGAUCAGAUGAAGGCGCCGGAGAAGGAUGCGUCGGUGCCGGUGAUUAUGGCGGAGGAG